GAUGAAGAACGUAGCGAAAUGCGAUAAGUAGUGUGAAUUGCAGAAUUCAGUGAAUCAUCGAAUCUUUGAACGCACAUUGCGGCCAUAGGUAUUCCUUUGGCCAUGCCUGUUCGAGCGUCAUUUACACCCUCAAGCCUAGCUUGGUGUUGGGCGUCUGUCCCGCCGUUCUCGCGCGCGGACUCGCCUCAAAGUCAUUGGCGGCGGUCGUGCCGGCCCCCUCGCGCAGCACAUUUGCGCUUCUCGGAGGCCCGGCGGAUCCGCGCUCCAGCAAGACCUUUCACGACUUGACCUCGGAUCAGGUAGGGAUACCCGCUGAACUUAAGCAUAUCAAUAGGCGGAGGA
rnacentral:misc_RNA from 1 species